AUCUCCCGAACCCCUAUCACCCGAAACUCCCCUCUCCCUCCAACUUUGUGACGGGAUCUCCUCUAUGGUUCGCAGUUCGCACGGAUCUGGGAAGAUCACUAUCGCUCGGCCCUCUCCUCAACUCUCCUCGCCUCUCUAUACGCCUUCUUCGUCACCCUCUCUGUCAUUUCCUCUGGCGUAUGAGCUUCGUGAGGCUAUCGACGGCGCCGGCCGUGCCUGAUCCCAUGGCAGUCGCACUGUACUCUUUGUCGAUGAGAUCCACCGGUUCUCCAAGUUCCACGACGCCAUCGCAGCCUCGAAAGCUCGCGUCCUCGCGAGCUCUGCAGUUCACGGGAUCGCGAGUGUUGCUGCCUGCCGCUUGUAGCCUCGUGUGCGCUGUUGCCUGCCGCUCGCGAGUGUUGCUGCUUGCUGCUAGCGAUGUACAGAUUUCUAUGGCAGCUUUCAUUCUAACUUUAGGAUCCAUGACUUGCACUCUAAAUUGACUCAUGGGCUUUCUUAAUGUAGUUGAAUUGAGAGCAUCAAAAUAUUAAUCAUCAAACAUGGAUCUACAAUGACAGUAUAUGAAAGCUGGACAAAAAAAUGAGUCAAAAAAUAUAGCAGAUCCAAGGAUCUACAAAAGCUGGACAUACGAAAGUUGGACAUGGAUCUACUUCUGGCUCUACUGAAGUAGUGAUCAAUCCUCUUAUUAAAAUGAACAAGAAAACAUAUAGCAGAUCCAAGGUGUCCAAGAGCAGUAAGAUGAAGCUAAGUACUUUUGUUGCCCACAACUGUAAAUUUAGUAAAAACUUAUUUUUUUUAAUUUUCUGAUUAUGAUGGUGGCAUGCAGCAUGAAUUAUUUGAUAUUAUGAAAUGAGUUCAUGAACCACAAUUGCUUUAGCAAUUACACCUACUAAAGCAUUUAGUAUCCAUAAAUUCACAUCUCCUCUUUUAUCCUCCAUAUAAGAGUGUUCAAUAGUGAUGUGGAUGCAGAGGAAUCAUUCCUGUAAGGGUAUGAUUAUAUAUGAAAAUCUGGUUAGACCAUGGGAUUAACAAGAGCCAAGAGAUGUUUAUGGAAGUUGCAUUAUUUUAUUAGGCUGUUCUGGCUGUUAGGCAAAUUUAUGCAGUUCAAUAAUGCUAUAGUUGUUGAUACAUUCAUUGGACUUGAAAUUUUAUACAACUCAUCGUUUAUCAAAUUAAGAUGGACUCAGCCAUUGUCAAGUUUUAUACAAUAAAUCUAGUCAUUGUCAAGUGACUCAGCCAUACCCCAUCAAGUUUUUCAAUUGGACCUAAAUCCUAAUCCCCUGCUGAACUAGUCCAUAAGUCCUAUUGAUAUCAUAUUUUUGUUUAAAUUCAAUUAAAAAAAUACUUAUUUAUAGAUGAAUUUUUCAAAGUAGACUUUUGGAAUUCUUUAGUUUACUUCCAUGUACUAAACUGGAACAAAUUAACUCCAGGGGUACUAUUUCGCAUGAGUUAGCUUAACAUUUUGCUGCAAUGUUUGAGUAGCAAUCUCCAUGUCUUAUAAAAUGGUCAAUGAAAAUGAUAGAGAAUCUUGAAUUAGUAUUCUGUAUCUAAUUUUCCAUUUACCACUAAUCAUGAAAAUAAUCUUGCUAAUCAUGCAAAAAUUAGUGCUAUAGUCAUGAUGAUAUCAUAUUUUGGUCACCAUCCAACAUAUAUGUGAUUCUUGAUUCUCUUGUUGGUAGUUGCCGAUAUGAUAGCUCUUUAGGUGAUUGAUUUAUCUCACUUUCAUAAAAAAAAGUCAAGUUUUCUUUAUCACUGGGAAUUCUUUUUCAUCAUCAUCUAACUUCACCAUCAAGGCUCUUUACCAAACGGUUUAUCAAUCUACUUAAACAUGCACAAGAUGACAUUCUUGACUUGAAUAAAGCUGCAGAAACACUUGAGGUGAAGUAUAUGUUGUUUGCAUAAUUGUUCUUCUUUUAUACAUAAUUAGAAUUUUACAUGUAGGUGCAAAAGAGGCAGAUUUAUGGCAUCACUAAUGUGCUUGAAGGGAUAGGAUUUAUGCCAAUGCUGCAGAAGUUGAAAACCUAGUCUCGCAAGAAUGCCAGUUGGAUGAGUGCAUCAGUGUGCAGAAAUGUUCUAGUUUUAAAGCAGAAUGCAAGAAAGUAUGAGUGUGUUCACUGAAGAAGAAAGUAAUCAAAAGCCGCUUUACUUGACCAAAGAUGACAUCAAAAGCAACAACUAUAUGUUAUGUGGCACUGCAUCCGAACCUCAGGAGUGUGACUGAGAAGUACUUCAACGAAGAACUAUCAAGAAAGCUUUAAGCGAGAAGAUGGUUAAAGUCAAUGAUUAAAGAACAUUUAAGUCAAGAGGAUAAGUAACAUUUAUCAAUAUCCUUUAAGUUCAUGCAAUAAGAUGUAGUCGAUAGAAGUAGGUUUGAGUGCCUUCUAAUUAAAAUUUCUUUGUAUGCAAGUAAUUAUGUUUAUUAUAGAAGUGUAAGAAUGAUAAUUUGUAUAUUUAUCUUGGUUGUUUAUUUAAUAAUAUGUUGUUGAUUGAAGUA